rnacentral:rRNA from 1 species
GAUCCUGGCUCAGAUUGAACGCUGGCGGCAGGCUUAACACAUGCAAGUCGAGCGGAGACUUCGGUCUUAGCGGCGAACGGGUGAGUAAUACCUAGGAAUCUGCCUAUUAGUGGGGGAUAACAGUUGGAAACGACUGCUAAUACCGCAUACGCCCUACGGGGGAAAGGAGGGGACCUUCGGGCCUUUCGCGAUUGGAUGAACCCAGGUGGGAUUAGCUAGUUGGUGGGGUAAUGGCUCACCAAGGCGACGAUCCCUAGCUGGUCUGAGAGGAUGAUCAGCCACACUGGAACUGAGACACGGUCCAGACUCCUACGGGAGGCAGCAGUGGGGAAUAUUGCACAAUGGGGGAAACCCUGAUGCAGCCAUGCCGCGUGUGUGAAGAAGGCCUUCGGGUUGUAAAGCACUUUCAGCGAGGAGGAAAGGUUGGCACCUAAUACGUGUCAACUGUGACGUUACUCGCAGAAGAAGCACCGGCUAACUCCGUG